UACGAAGGGGGCUAGCGUUGCUCGGAAUCACUGGGCGUAAAGCGCACGUAGGCGGAUCUUUAAGUCAGGGGUGAAAUCCUGGAGCUCAACUCCAGAACUGCCUUUGAUACUGGGGAUCUCGAAGUCCGGGAGAGGUGAGUGGAACUCCGGAGUGUAGAGGUGAAAUUCGUAGAUAUUCGGAAAGAACACCAGUGGCGAAGGCGGCUCACUGGCCCGGUACUGACGCUGAGGUGCGAAACGUGGGAGCAACAGGG
rnacentral:rRNA from 1 species